rnacentral:rRNA from 1 species
AAUUUGAACGGCUACACCCAAAAUUAUAUCUUAAUCCAACAUCGAGGUCGCAAUCUUUUUUAUCGAUAUGAACUCUCCAAAAAAAUUACGCUGUUAUCCCUAAAGUAACUUAAAUUUUUAAUCAUUAUUAAUGGAUCAAUUAUUCAUAAAUUAAUGGUUUUAAAAAUUAAAAGUUUUUUAAAUUUUAAUAUCACCCCAAUAAAAUAUUUUAACUUAUUAUAAUAAAAAUAAUCUUUAUAAUUAAAAUAAACAAAAUAUAAAGAUUUAUAGGGUCUUCUCGUCUUUUAAAUUUAUUUUAGCUUUUUGACUAAAAAAUAAAAUUCUAUAAAAAAUUUAAAUGAAACAGUUAAUAUUUCGUCCAACCAUUCAUUCCAGCCUUCAAUUAAAAGACUAAUGAUUAUGCUACCUUUGCACAGUUAGAAUACUGCGGCCAUUUAAAAUUUUCAGUGGGCAGGUUAGACUUUAAAUUUAAUUCAAAAAGAC